GGGUUGUGAGGUUAAGCGACUAAGCGUACACGGUGGAUGCCCUGGCAGUCAGAGGCGAUGAAGGACGUGCUAAUCUGCGAAAAGCGUCGGUAAGGUGAUAUGAACCGUUAUAACCGGCGAUGUCCGAAUGGGGAAACCCAGUGCAAUUCGUUGCACUAUCGUUAACUGAAUACAUAGGUUAACGAGGCGAACCGGGGGAACUGAAACAUCUAAGUACCCCGAGGAAAAGAAAUCAACCGAGAUUCCCCCAGUAGCGGCGAGCGAACGGGGAGCAGCCCAGAGUCUGAAUCAGCUUGUGUGUUAGUGGAACGGUCUGGAAAGUCCGACGGUACAGGGUGAUAGUCCCGUACACCAAAAUGCACAGGCUGUGAACUCGAAGAGUAGGGCGGGACACGUGGUAUCCUGUCUGAAUAUGGGGGGACCAUCCUCCAAGGCUAAAUACUCCUGACUGACCGAUAGUGAACCAGUACCGUGAGGGAAAGGCGAAAAGAACCCCGGCGAGGGGAGUGAAAAAGAACCUGAAACCGUGUACGUACAAGCAGUGGGAGCCUCUUUAUGGGGUGACUGCGUACCUUUUGUAUAAUGGGUCAGCGACUUAUAUUCUGUAGCAAGGUUAACCGUAUAGGGGAGCCGCAGGGAAACCGAGUCUUAACUGGGCGUUAAGUUGCAGGGUAUAGACCCGAAACCCGGUGAUCUAGCCAUGGGCAGGUUGAAGGUUGGGUAACACUAACUGGAGGACCGAACCGACUAAUGUUGAAAAAUUAGCGGAUGACUUGUGGCUGGGGGUGAAAGGCCAAUCAAACCGGGAGAUAGCUGGUUCUCCCCGAAAGCUAUUUAGGUAGCGCCUCGUGAAUUCAUCUUCGGGGGUAGAGCACUGUUUCGGCUAGGGGGUCAUCCCGACUUACCAACCCGAUGCAAACUACGAAUACCGAAGAAUGUUAUCACGGGAGACACACGGCGGGUGCUAACGUCCGUCGUGAAGAGGGAAACAACCCAGACCGCCAGCUAAGGUCCCAAAGUCAUGGUUAAGUGGGAAACGAUGUGGGAAGGCACAGACAGCCAGGAUGUUGGCUUAGAAGCAGCCAUCAUUUAAAGAAAGCGUAAUAGCUCACUGGUCGAGUCGGCCUGCGCGGAAGAUGUAACGGGGCUAAACCAUGCACCGAAGCUGCGGCAGCGACACUAUGUGUUGUUGGGUAGGGGAGCGUUCUGUAAGCCUGCGAAGGUGGCCUGUGAGGGCUGCUGGAGGUAUCAGAAGUGCGAAUGCUGACAUAAGUAACGAUAAAGCGGGUGAAAAGCCCGCUCGCCGGAAGACCAAGGGUUCCUGUCCAACGUUAAUCGGGGCAGGGUGAGUCGACCCCUAAGGCGAGGCCGAAAGGCGUAGUCGAUGGGAAACAGGUUAAUAUUCCUGUACUUGGUGUUACUGCGAAGGGGGGACGGAGAAGGCUAUGUUAGCCGGGCGACGGUUGUCCCGGUUUAAGCAUGUAGGCGGAACGAUUAGGUAAAUCCGGUCGUUUAUUAACGCUGAGGUGUGAUGACGAGGCACUACGGUGCUGAAGUAACAAAUGCCCUGCUUCCAGGAAAAGCCUCUAAGCAUCAGGUAACAUUAAAUCGUACCCCAAACCGACACAGGUGGUCAGGUAGAGAAUACCAAGGCGCUUGAGAGAACUCGGGUGAAGGAACUAGGCAAAAUGGUGCCGUAACUUCGGGAGAAGGCACGCUGAUAGGUAGGUGAAGCCCCUGCGGGUGGAGCUGAAAUCAGUCGAAGAUACCAGCUGGCUGCAACUGUUUAUUAAAAACACAGCACUGUGCAAACACGAAAGUGGACGUAUACGGUGUGACGCCUGCCCGGUGCCGGAAGGUUAAUUGAUGGGGUUAUCCGUAAGGAGAAGCUCUUGAUCGAAGCCCCGGUAAACGGCGGCCGUAACUAUAACGGUCCUAAGGUAGCGAAAUUCCUUGUCGGGUAAGUUCCGACCUGCACGAAUGGCGUAAUGAUGGCCAGGCUGUCUCCACCCGAGACUCAGUGAAAUUGAACUCGCUGUGAAGAUGCAGUGUACCCGCGGCAAGACGGAAAGACCCCGUGAACCUUUACUAUAGCUUGACACUGAACAUUGAGCCUUGAUGUGUAGGAUAGGUGGGAGGCUUUGAAGCGUGGACGCCAGUCUGCGUGGAGCCAACCUUGAAAUACCACCCUUUAAUGUUUGAUGUUCUAACGUAGACCCGUAAUCCGGGUUGCGGACAGUGUCUGGUGGGUAGUUUGACUGGGGCGGUCUCCUCCCAAAGAGUAACGGAGGAGCACGAAGGUUAGCUAAUCCUGGUCGGACAUCAGGAGGUUAGUGCAAUGGCAUAAGCUAGCUUGACUGCGAGCGUGACGGCGCGAGCAGGUGCGAAAGCAGGUCAUAGUGAUCCGGUGGUUCUGAAUGGAAGGGCCAUCGCUCAACGGAUAAAAGGUACUCCGGGGAUAACAGGCUGAUACCGCCCAAGAGUUCAUAUCGACGGCGGUGUUUGGCACCUCGAUGUCGGCUCAUCACAUCCUGGGGCUGAAGUAGGUCCCAAGGGUAUGGCUGUUCGCCAUUUAAAGUGGUACGCGAGCUGGGUUUAGAACGUCGUGAGACAGUUCGGUCCCUAUCUGCCGUGGGCGCUGGAGAAUUGAGGGGGGCUGCUCCUAGUACGAGAGGACCGGAGUGGACGCAUCACUGGUGUUCGGGUUGUCAUGCCAAUGGCAUUGCCCGGUAGCUAAAUGCGGAAGAGAUAAGUGCUGAAAGCAUCUAAGCACGAAACUUGCCCCGAGAUGAGUUCUCCCUGAGACUAUAAGUCUCCUGAAGGAACGUUGAAGACGACGACGUUGAUAGGCCGGGUGUGUAAGCGCAGCGAUGCGUUGAGCUAACCGGUACUAAUGAACCGUGAGGCUUAACCUUACAACGCCGAAG
rnacentral:rRNA from 1 species